rnacentral:tRNA from 1 species
GCCCGAGUGGCGGAAUUGGUAGACGCGCUGGUCUCAAAAACCAGUUCCUUCCAAGGAGUGCCGGUUCGACCCCGGCCUCGGGUACAA